rnacentral:lncRNA from 1 species
ACCAGAAAAGUGUCAACAAAAUGACUAGGAUCGAACGCAAAGCCACCAUAUCUUUACUAUUCCUUAAUUCACAGUUACGUUAGUCCAUCGUACGUCGUCCCUCUCCCUCCCGCAGACGCACGAAAAAAAAACCAACGAGAAAAAAACCAAGAAGAUGCCCGACCUGCCCCCCACCCACGCCCGAUACAUCCUCCUCUGCUCGCACCGCCACUGCCCCGAUCUCUCUCUACCAGCGCCGCCUCCUCCUCCUCCUCGCACACGGCCCGCCCCGAUCCGCCUCCUCCUCGUACUGGCGCAAGUCCGGGGGGCGCGAGGACGAGGCCGAGAUGCGUGCCGAGGCUGCCGCCCGCCCGGACGAGAACCGACCGACGUCGGCAAGGCUGUCCGCGUCGCCACACCGGCUCCCAAGG